CGGCCUUUCAGGCAUAUCAAAGCAUUUUUUCUAAAAUUCUUCCGUACACUCUCGGGUCUCGGAGAACGAUUCCGUGAAAUCGGUGAAGGUUUCGGACGAAAAUAUCAGGAUGUGCUUUUGGUGGGUUCACCUAUACGAUAAGAUUCAAAACAACAACCUUGGUAGGACAUAACUCGUUGCUGGUAGCUGUGAGAUUUCGGUUUCCGGCGUGGUGCAUAAGUUGACCCGUCAAAAAGAACUAUGCAAAGCGUACUCAACUGAAGGCUGCGUACGGUAAAUCCGGUAAAUAUCGUUGCCGGACAUAGAGCAUGCAUGUCGGUAGAAAUGAAGAUGUUUUUUAUUACUGAUCCUAGUUGACUAGCCAGUAAAAUAUAUGUGUGCUUCAGCCGUGAAAUAAGUUUGGGAUAUGAAAUGGAAAGCUACGUCGGAGUUAGCGAACCUGAUAUUUCAACGAUCUUGCUGGUGAACAUGUGACACCUCUGUCUUUGAAGAAUGGGGAGAGAGCGCUACAUGUAGGAUUAAUAAGAGUUUGUUACUGUCGAAAAUUACUCUAAAACAACCCGGAUUAACUUCCAUAAAGUUCACUGUUAGAGCCACUGAUACCUGGACACACCUCGAAGGUCAUCAAAGCCUAUGUCACUUCAAGACUUGAAUCGAUUCCGAUAACUACACGAGUGCCUAGAAAAUGAGUGUGAAUACGACCAAAUGGCUGGUCGCAACCGGGAUACCCUUUCCACUCCGACUACCGUCAUAGAAACAACUGAUUUCACAGGUGUACAACACAGGAGCUGCUAUUAGUGAUCGCUUUUCCUACACGCUAUGCUGCUGCGAGGAUUUGAAACUUGACAUUUCCUAUUCACCUUGUGCGUUUCGGCAACGGCAGCGGUCGUGGUGAUGGUAACCGGGAGGACCAGGUGGAGGGAGGCGAUUAGAAGGAUUAUUCGACUGCGGACGUUCGGUCGCCUAUCAGGUUUCAGAUUGAGGAUAGGCAAGAACGAGCAGAUCGCCAUCCGGGGCAGAAUGGGAGAUCCUAAUUUUUCUACUAUUAUGCUUUUUUUCCUCCGUUAUAACCUCGCGAACUAUUAACCCUUUAUAAGGCAGUGGCAGUGGCAGUCCCAUGUAGUGGCUUUAUUUGGGGCCCUCCUUAGCCGUGCGGUAAGACGCGCGGCUACAAAGCAAGACCAUGCUGAGGGUGGCUGGGUUCGAUUCCCGGUGCCGGUCUAGGCAAUUUUCGGAUUGGAAAUUAUCUCGACUUCCCUGGGCAUAAAAGUAUCAUCGUGUUAGCCUCAUGAUAUACGAAUGCAAAAAUGGUAACCUGGCUUAGAAACCUCGCAGUUAAUAACUGUGGAAGUGCUUAAUGAACACUAAGCUGCGAGGCGGCUCUGUCCCAGUGUGGGGAUGUAAUGCCAAUAAGAAGAAGAAGAAGAAGAAGGCUUUAU